CGAUGAUGCCAGCUCGCUGGUGGAUUAGUGGCGAACGGGUGAGUAACACGUGAGUAACCUGCCCUUGACUCUGGGAUAAGCCUGGGAAACUGGGUCUAAUACCGGAUAUGACCUUCCAUCGCAUGGUGGUUGGUGGAAAGCUUUUGUGGUUUUGGAUGGACUCGCGGCCUAUCAGCUUGUUGGUGGGGUAAUGGCCUACCAAGGCGACGACGGGUAGCCGGCCUGAGAGGGUGACCGGCCACACUGGGACUGAGACACGGCCCAGACUCCUACGGGAGGCAGCAGUGGGGAAUAUUGCACAAUGGGCGCAAGCCUGAUGCAGCGACGCCGCGUGAGGGAUGACGGCCUUCGGGUUGUAAACCUCUUUCAGUAGGGAAGAAGCCGCAAGGUGACGGUACCUGCAGAAGAAGCGCCGGCUAACUACGUGCCAGCAGCCGCGGUAAUACGUAGGGCGCAAGCGUUAUCCGGGAAUUAUUGGGCGUAAAGAGCUCGUAGGCGGUUUGUCGCGUCUGCCGUGAAAGUCCGGGGCUCAACUCCGGAUCUGCGGUGGGUACGGGCAGACUAGAGUGAUGUAGGGGAGACUGGAAUUCCUGGUGUAGCGGUGAAAUGCGCAGAUAUCAGGAGGAACACCGAUGGCGAAGGCAGGUCUCUGGGCAUUAACUGACGCUGAGGAGCGAAAGCAUGGGGAGCGAACAGGAUUAGAUACCCUGGUAGUCCAUGCCGUAAACGUUGGGCACUAGGUGUGGGGGACAUUCCACGUUUUCCGCGCCGUAGCUAACGCAUUAAGUGCCCCGCCUGGGGAGUACGGCCGCAAGGCUAAAACUCAAAGGAAUUGACGGGGGCCCGCACAAGCGGCGGAGCAUGCGGAUUAAUUCGAUGCAACGCGAAGAACCUUACCAAGGCUUGACAUGAACCAGACCGGGCUGGAAACAGUUCCUUCCCCUUUGGGGUUGGUUUACAGGUGGUGCAUGGUUGUCGUCAGCUCGUGUCGUGAGAUGUUGGGUUAAGUCCCGCAACGAGCGCAACCCUCGUUCCAUGUUGCCAGCGGGUAGUGCCGGGGACUCAUGGGAGACUGCCGGGGUCAACUCGGAGGAAGGUGGGGACGACGUCAAAUCAUCAUGCCCCUUAUGUCUUGGGCUUCACGCAUGCUACAAUGGCCGGUACAAAGGGUUGCGAUACUGUGAGGUGGAGCUAAUCCCAAAAAGCCGGUCUCAGUUCGGAUUGGGGUCUGCAACUCGACCCCAUGAAGUCGGAGUCGCUAGUAAUCGCAGAUCAGCAACGCUGCGGUGAAUACGUUCCCGGGCCUUGUACACACCGCCCGUCAAGUCACGAAAGUUGGUAACACCCGAAGCCGGUGGCCUAACCCCUU
rnacentral:rRNA from 1 species